GAUGAACGCUGGCUACAGGCUUAACACAUGCAAGUCGAGGGGAAACGACGGGGAAGCUUGCUUCCUUGGGCGUCGACCGGCGCACGGGUGAGUAACGCGUAUCCAACCUGCCUCUGACUGAGGGAUAACCCGUCGAAAGUCGGCCUAAUACCUCAUGGUAUCGUCUGCGGGCAUCCAAUGACGAUUAAAGAUUUCAUCGGUCAGGGAUGGGGAUGCGUCUGAUUAGCUUGUUGGCGGGGUAACGGCCCACCAAGGCUACGAUCAGUAGGGGUUCUGAGAGGAAGGUCCCCCACAUUGGAACUGAGACACGGUCCAAACUCCUACGGGAGGCAGCAGUGAGGAAUAUUGGUCAAUGGGCGAGAGCCUGAACCAGCCAAGUAGCGUGCAGGAUGACGGCCCUAUGGGUUGUAAACUGCUUUUAUGCGGGGAUAAAGUGAGGGACGUGUCCUUCAUUGCAGGUACCGCAUGAAUAAGGACCGGCUAAUUCCGUGCCAGCAGCCGCGGUAAUACGGAAGGUCCGGGCGUUAUCCGGAUUUAUUGGGUUUAAAGGGAGCGUAGGCCGUGGAUUAAGCGUGUUGUGAAAUGCAGGUGCUCAACGUCUGCACUGCAGCGCGAACUGGUCCACUAGAGUGUGCACAACGCAGGCGGAAUUCGUCGUGUAGCGGUGAAAUGCUUAGAUAUGACGAAGAACUCCGAUUGCGAAGGCAGCUUGCGGGAGCACAACUGACGCUGAAGCUCGAAAGUGCGGGUAUCGAACAGG
rnacentral:rRNA from 1 species